rnacentral:sRNA from 1 species
UUGUGUGUGAGGAGCAAGUGUAAACCAAAGGGUGCUUGGAGUGGAAACACGGCAACACGUCCAAGCACUUUUUGUU